CCUACGGGAGGCAGCAGUGGGGAAUUUUGCGCAAUGCUCGUAAGAGUGACGCAGCGACGCCGCGUGAAUGACGAAGGCCUUCGGGUCGUAAAGCUCUUUCGACAGGGAAGAAAAUGCCUAUAAGUAACUGUGUAUGUAUUGACGGUACCUGUAUAAGCAGCCUAGGCUAACUCCGUGCCAGCAGCCGCGGUAAUACGGAGGGGGCGAGCGUUGUUCGGAGUGACUGGGCGUAAAGAGCACGUAGGCGGUGUUGUAAGUCAUUAGUCAAAGACUAGAGCUCAACUUUAGUAAGGCUAGUGAUACUAUAAUACUAGAGUAUCAGAGAGGAUUGCAGAAUUCCUGGUGUAGCGGUGAAAUGCGUAGAUAUCAGGAAGAAUACCGUUAGCGAAGGCGGCAAUCUAGCUGGAAACUGACGCUGAGGUGCGAAAGCGUGGGUAGCAAACAGGAUUAGAUACCCUAGUAGUC
rnacentral:rRNA from 1 species